AGAUCAGCUCACGCUAUCUAUCGGAUCGUUUUAGAAACAUUCAGGGGCCAACAGUUUCAGGAUUGUUGAGCUCCAUUGGCGGGAUUUCGCCGUCUUCGUUUCUCUUUCUUCGCGGACGAACACGCGCCAGGGGCUGAGCGCUGUGCGGUGCACCGACUAAGCGACGCGAGCGCGCCGGCAUGUCUCUCGUGUUAGGGGCUUGUAGCUCAGUAGGUUAGAGCGCGCGCUUGAUAAGCGUGAGGUCGGAAGAUCAAGACUUCCCAGGCCCACCAUAUUGAUCGAGAGCGGAGCAUUCGUCUUCUGGUACGGGGCCAUAGCUCAGCUGGGAGAGCGCGUGCUUUGCAAGCAUGAGGUCGUCGGUUCGAUCCCGUCUGGCUCCACCAGAUGGUUUGAUCACCAACGGCGUUACCGUCGUCCGCGAAACAUCACUUCGCACUCAUUGGUCCGGAUGGACGGUGACGUGCGUGUUUUCUGACAUCGUAAAGAGGAGAUCGAUCCGAGUUUGGAUCAAGCGAAGCAAUUCGUCUGAACCAUUCAUUAUCUCCGGGAUCAUUUCGGCGCUCGCGCAUCGCAGUUCAUCGCAAGAUGAGUGGGGUGAGCGGGUUGUAAAUGAUCUCUUUUAGCGAAGCUUGACCGCCUCGCUAUCGGGCCGAUCUUACGAAGCAAGCUGGUCUUUCUAGUCAAUGUCCGGCUGCGCAAUCGCAUUCAUCGAGGAUGCGUGCCUGGGACUUCGGUCUUCGGGCAGUUGCGCAGACAACAUUCUGCCGAGUGUGUGGACAUUGAUAAUGAGAGCAAUCAAGUGCCUUAAGGGUGUUCGGUGGAUGCC
rnacentral:tRNA from 1 species